GAUGAACGCUGGCGGCGUGCUUAACACAUGCAAGUCGAACGAAGCACUUUAUUUGAUUUCCUUCGGGACUGAUUAUUUUGUGACUGAGUGGCGGACGGGUGAGUAACGCGUGGGUAACCUGCCUUGUACAGGGGGAUAACAGUUGGAAACGGCUGCUAAUACCGCAUAAGCGCACAGCAUCGCAUGAUGCAGUGUGAAAAACUCCGGUGGUAUAAGAUGGACCCGCGUUGGAUUAGCUAGUUGGUGAGAUAACGGCCCACCAAGGCGACGAUCCAUAGCCGACCUGAUAGGGUGACCGGCCACAUUGGGACUGAGACACGGCCCAAACUCCUACGGGAGGCAGCAGUGGGGAAUAUUGCACAAUGGGCGAAAGCCUGAUGCAGCGACGCCGCGUGAGCGAAGAAGUAUUUCGGUAUGUAAAGCUCUAUCAGCAGGGAAGAUAAUGACGUUACCUGACUAAGAAGCACCGGCUAAAUACGUG
rnacentral:rRNA from 1 species